UACGUAGGGGGCAAGCGUUGUCCGGAAUUAUUGGGCGUAAAGAGCGCGUAGGCGGUCCGAUAAGUCGGCUGUGAAAGUCAGGGGCUCAACCCUUGAAAGCCGGCCGAUACUGUCGGACUAGAGUCCGGAAGAGGCAAGUGGAAUUCCCGGUGUAGCGGUGAAAUGCGCAGAUAUCGGGAGGAACACCAAUGGCGAAGGCAGCUUGCUGGGACGGUACUGACACUGAGGCGCGGCAGCGUGGGGAGCAAACAGG
rnacentral:rRNA from 1 species